rnacentral:rRNA from 1 species
UGCGAGUGAAGCGGGAAAAGCUCAAAUUUAAAAUCUGGCAGUCUUUGGCUGUCCGAGUUGUAAUCUAGAGAAGUGUUAUCCGCGCUGGACCGUGUACAAGUCUCCUGGAAUGGAGCGUCAUAGAGGGUGAGAAUCCCGUCUUUGACACGGACUACCAGGGCUUUGUGAUGCGCUCUCAAAGAGUCGAGUUGUUUGGGAAUGCAGCUCAAAAUGGGUGGUAAAUUCCAUCUAAAGCUAAAUAUUGGCGAGAGACCGAUAGCGAACAAGUACCGUGAGGGAAAGAUGAAAAGAACUUUGGAAAGAGAGUUAAACAGUACGUGAAAUUGCUGAAAGGGAAACGCUUGAAGUCAGUCGCGUUGUCCAGGGAUCAACCUUGCUUUUGCUUGGUGCACUUCCUGGUUGACGGGUCAGCAUCAAUUUUGACUAUUGGAAAAAGAUUAAGGGAAUGUGGCAUCUUUGGAUGUGUUAUAGCCCUUGGUUGCAUACAAUGGUUGGGAUUGAGGAACUCAGCACGCCGCAAGGCCGGGUUUUUAACCACGUACGUGCUUAGGAUGCUGGCAUAAUGGCUUUAAUCGACCCGUCUUGAAACACGGACCAAGGAGUCUAACAUGCCUGCGAGUGUUUGGGUGGAAAACCCGAGCGCGCAAUGAAAGUGAAAGUUGAGAUCCCUGUCGUGGGGAGCAUCGACGCCCGGACCAGACCUUUUGUGACGGUUCCGCGGUAGAGCAUGUAUGUUGGGACCCGAAAGAUGGUGAACUAUGCCUGAAUAGGGUGAAGCCAGAGGAAACUCUGGUGGAGGCUCGUAGCGAUUCUGACGUGCAAAUCGAUCGUCAAAUUUGGG